rnacentral:rRNA from 1 species
UGGUGGAGUGAUUUGUCUGCUUAAUUGCGAUAACGAACGAGACCUUAACCUGCUAAAUAGUCAGGCCCGCUUUGGCGGGUCGCAGGCUUCUUAGAGGGACUAUCGGCUUCAAGCCGAUGGAAGUUUGAGGCAAUAACA